rnacentral:rRNA from 1 species
UACGAAGGGUGCAAACGUUGCUCGGAAUUAUUGGGCGUAAAGCGCACGUAGGCGGCUUUUCAAGUCGGAUGUGAAAUCCCUCGGCUUAACCAAGGAAGUGCAUCCGAAACUGGAAGGCUUGAGUACUUAAGAGGAUCGCGGAAUUCCCGGUGUAGAGGUGAAAUUCGUAGAUAUCGGGAGGAACACCAGUGGCGAAGGCGGCGAUCUGGGAAGAUACUGACGCUGAGGUGCGAAAGCGUGGGAGCAACAG